rnacentral:rRNA from 1 species
UCGAGCGAGUCUGCCUUGAAGAUCGGAGUGCUUGCACUCUGUGAAACAAGAUACAGGCUAGCGGCGGACGGGUGAGUAACACGUGGGUAACCUGCCCAAGAGAUCGGGAUAACACCUGGAAACAGAUGCUAAUACCGGAUAACAACAGAUGAUGCCUAUCAACUGUUUAAAAGAUGGUUCUGCUAUCACUCUUGGAUGGACCUGCGGUGCAUUAGCUAGUUGGUAGGGUAACGGCCUACCAAGGCGAUGAUGCAUAGCCGAGUUGAGAGACUGAUCGGCCACAUUGGGACUGAGACACGGCCCAAACUCCUACGGGAGGCAGCAGUAGGGAAUCUUCCACAAUGGACGCAAGUCUGAUGGAGCAACGCCGCGUGAGUGAAGAAGGGUUUCGGCUCGUAAAGCUCUGUUGUUGGUGAAGAAGGACAGGGGUAGUAACUGACCUUUGUUUGACGGUAAUCAAUUAGAAAGUCACGGCUAACUACGUGCCAGCAGCCGCGGUAAUACGUAGGUGGCAAGCGUUGUCCGGAUUUAUUGGGCGUAAAGCGAGUGCAGGCGGCUCGAUAAGUCUGAUGUGAAAGCCUUCGGCUCAACCGGAGAAUUGCAUCAGAAACUGUCGAGCUUGAGUACAGAAGAGGAGAGUGGAACUCCAUGUGUAGCGGUGAAAUGCGUAGAUAUAUGGAAGAACACCGGUGGCGAAGGCGGCUCUCNNNUCUGUUACUGACGCUGAGGCUCGAAAGCAUGGGUAGCGAACAGGAUUAGAUACCCUGGUAGUCCAUGCCGUAAACGAUGAGUGCUAAGUGUUGGGAGGUUUCCGCCUCUCAGUGCUGCAGCUAACGCAUUAAG